rnacentral:rRNA from 1 species
GACGAACGCUGGCGGCGUGCUUAACACAUGCAAGUCGAACGAUGAAGCGGUGCUUGCACCGUGGAUUAGUGGCGAACGGGUGAGUAACACGUGAGUAACCUGCCUUCCACUCUGGGAUAAGCGCUGGAAACGGCGUCUAAUACUGGAUAUGACAUUGCCUCGCAUGGGGUGGUGUGGAAAGAUUUUUUGGUGGUAGAUGGACUCGCGGCCUAUCAGCUUGUUGGUGGGGUAAUGGCCUACCAAGGCGCCGACGGGUAGCCGGCCUGAGAGGGUGACCGGCCACACUGGGAGUGAGACACGGCCCAGACUCCUACGGGAGGCAGCAGUGGGGAAUAUUGCACAAUGGGCGAAAGCCUGAUGCAGCGACGCCGCGUGAGGGAUGACGGCCUUCGGGUUGUAAACCUCUUUCGGCCGGGAAGAAAUCGCACGGGCUAAUACCCUGUGUGGAUGACGGUACCGGAAUAAGAAGCACCGGCUAACUAC